UAAAUGACUCUCGGCAACGGAUAUCUCGGCUCACGCAUCGAUGAAGAACGUAGCAAAAUGCGAUACUUGGUGUGAAUUGCAGAAUCCCGUGAACCAUCGAGUUUUUGAACGCAAGUUGCGCCCAAAGCCUUUCGGCUGAGGGCACGUCUGCCUGGGCGUCACAC
rnacentral:rRNA from 1 species